AUGUAUGGGGGUCAGCAGACCUGGAGCAGGAGAACAAAAUGGAAGGGCUUCGGAAGGCUGGAGCAGGACCCUUUCCCAAAGCACUUAUUGCACAUCAACUUUGCAUGCGCUCCAACAGGCCGGGGAGAAGGUGGCCUAACUCCAGGAUCAUCACUGUUGAGGAUUAUCCUGGUGGGCAAAACAGGCUGCGGGAAAAGCGCCACAGGGAACAGCAUCCUCUGCCAGCCAGCGUUUGAGUCCAAGCUGGCGGCCCAGCCGGUGACCAGGACGUGCCAGGCGGAGACAGGCACAUGGAACGGGAGGAACAUCCUGGUGGUCGACACACCCUCCAUCUUUGAGGCCAAGGCCCAGGCCCAAGAGAUGUACAAGGACAUCGGGGACUGCUACCUGCUCUCUGCCCCGGGGCCCCACGUGCUGCUCCUGGUGACCCAGCUGGGGCGUUUCACGGCCCAGGACACGGUGGCCGUGAGGAGGGUGAAGGAGGUCUUUGGGGCAGGGGCCAUGAGACACGUGGUCAUCCUCUUCACCCACAAGGAGGACUUGGGCAGCGAGGCCUUGAGCGACUAUGUAGUGCACGCGGACAACCGCGGGCUGCAGGGGCUGGUGCGGGAGUGCGGGAGGAGGUACUGCGCCUUCAACAACCGGGCCGGCGGCCAGGAGCAGGCGCGGCAGCUGGCGGAGCUCAUGGCUGUGCUGGAGAGGCUGGAGAGGGAGUGCGAGGGCUCCUUCCACAGCAAUGGCCUCUUCCUCGAUGCCCAGAUGCUGCGGCGAGGCAGGGACGGUGCCGGCCACGAAGACUACGAAGACUACGGGCAGUACCUGGCCAAGGUGAAACAGCAGGUGGAAAAGCAGAAGCGAGAGCUGAGGGAGGAGGAGAGGAGCUGGGCAUGCAAGGCGCUCCUCAGGGUCCAGCGCUGGAUGGCUUCGCGUUAUGAGAUCUGUGUUGUUAUUGUUUGGUGCAGCUUACUUUUGCUUCUUAUUUUCCUAAUCAUCUUUUACCAUCUUUAAUUCUUUGUGUUUUCGAGCAUU